rnacentral:lncRNA from 1 species
ACUUUGUAAUUUUCUUCUGGAAAACCCAGAUUAUCCAAAGAGAGAAGAUAGAAUCAUCAUAAAUCCCAGUAGCAGUCUGCUGGCCAGCCAGGAUGAGACAAAGGCAAGUGUCGUGUUCUUGUUUUGCAAUCGCUACCUGGAAAUGCCCUGCUUUGUUGUUGUUGUUAUCUCUAUGGGAAGAAAGUGCUUUGUUGGGGCAAGUUUUUGAAGACUAGCAGAGGGACAUAGGAUUUCAGAAUAUGUCUAUACUUCAGUGAGGUCUCCCAUUCUGAGCCACUUUGAAUUCUGUCUUUAACUUCUAUCUUUCCUUGUAAUUCUUAUCUUCCUUUUCCCACAAAGAAUUAAACGAAUCCUCCAUAUCUUUAAUCCUACAAAGCAAAUUCCAAGAAUUGGCCAGGACACUAACAUUUUAUUAUGAAAAUUUUCAAACCUACAGAAAAGUUGAAAUAUUUUACGUCGAUCACCUAUAUCCCUACCACUGGUGCUACUAAAAAGUUAACAGUUUACUGUAUCCUUUUUAUCAUACGUAUGUCCUNCACUUGUUUGUUUAUUUAUCUGUUUAGUUUUUCUGGGCUGCACACAUCUUAAUUUCUUAAUAGGCCAGCUGUAAUGUGUGACUAAGGACUAUAUUCUUCAAAUAUUGCAUUUGAAACAAUGGGCAGGUAUGGGAUUUGGAAGCAGUAUGAAAGUAACAUCAUUUGUUUUUGCAGACUUUGUAAUUUUCUUCUGGAAAACCCAGAUUAUCCAAAGAGAGAAGAUAGAAUCAUUAUAAAUCCCAGUAGCAGUCUGCUGGCCAGCCAGGAUGAGACAAAGUUGCCUAAAAUAGACUUUUUUGACUAUUCUAAAUUGACUCCUCUUGACCAGCGCUGCUUCAUCCAAGCUGCUGACCUCCUCAUGGCCGACUUCAAAAUGCUCAGUAGUCAGGGCAUCAAGUGGGCCCUGCACGAGCUCAAAGGACACUAUGCAAUCACCCGAAAGGUGCUCUACUUGGUCUUCCUCUUGGGGUGACACCUCUUGGCUACAUCUUCCCAUGAUAACAGAAUGAACAGUCCAGCUUGUGGAAAUUGGGAUGGUUUAUGAUUGCUAAGGAAUUAGGGUGAAGAUAAAUACGUAUUUGCUG